rnacentral:rRNA from 1 species
AUACGACCAUACCCAUUGGAAAACUCGGGAUCCCGUCCGCUCUCCCAUAGAUAAGCCAAUGAGGCCGGAUUAGUAGUUGGGUCGGUGACGACCAGCGAAUACCUGGUGUUGUAUG